rnacentral:lncRNA from 1 species
UCAAGCUGAAAAUUGUCAUGAAUCAAUCAGUAUCUUUUUAGAUGUGUUGGGUGCUAUCUUACAUUAUUAUUCUUUACAGAGGUGCAAGCAUUUCGAGAUUGGUGGAGACAAGAAGGGCAAGGGAACAUCUCUUUUCUAAACUACCUACUGGAUACUGAAGUUGUGGGUCUAUUGUGCUUCAUACUUCAAUGUUAUUAGGAACUUAAUUUAAGCAGACCAUAUCAUGUAUUCAAGUAUCAUCGUCUGACAUUUACUCUAGCAAGGAUUGGCUUUCUGCUGAAUCAAGUUUUCUUGCUUAAUGCUCGUCGAAUCCAAUGUGAUGCAUGUCUUUAGAUGGCACUGCAAUUGUGACUUUUGUCUUAUGGCAGUUUUAUCUCCCUAAGUCCUCAGUGUCUGUUUUUCGUUAUCUUACCCGAGUUUGCAAUCCUAGAGCGACCCACGUAAACGAAUUCCUGUGACAUGAAUCCCUGAGAGGCUAGUCUGAUGAACUUCCGUUUUUCAGAUCGAAUUUCGUAUAUGGUUAACUAUACUAUGUUUUGUUCAAUAUCUUCGUAACGAGAUGGAAGGUAUGGAAUACUAUGGAUGGAGGUGAAUUGAAAGAUAGGCCUUGGUCUUGUGAUUGUUAUCUUAGAAGGUCGAUACUAAUGUUUGGUCUUGUGGCGUUAGUGAAACUGUUUUCGUAGCAAUGUUUGGUCUUGUGAUGUUAUUGAACUGUUUUCGUAGCAUUGUAUUACUUGUUCCAUUCUUCAUGCAUGAUUUGGAUAGGUUAUUGACAAUUGUUUAUAGUAAUGAAUUAAAUAUUACACUCCUAAAUUAUUAUAAACCGAAUAAAUAGCUUAAAGCGAGCCAGGCAAUGCUGAUGUAGAAAAUUUCUAGUUUGAGAACCGUGGUAUGCAUAUCCCGAAGUUCAUAAGCUGAAAAGAUUGCACCCUAAAUCUAAUGUAUUGUAGUUUUCCUGUACUGAAAAUGCUGUUGGAUCGGACAGCCGUGGUGAUUGGUUGCGUUCAUUUUCAAGUUGUAGCCAAGUUAAAUAAAGUAUAGAAGGAUAUGCAAGUAGCAACAUCGGAGGAGUGCCAUCGCAGUGAUCCUCCCAAAAAGCACGAAAGAAACAUCUUCAUUGGAACCUAAGCAGCUCUGGCCUUUUGAGCCCAGAAAAGCUAUCCUUGAUUCAAGCACAAACCGUCAUUUGGUUAUAUGCUUUCUCCAAAUACUAGCAUGAGUAAAUUGCAUUGGCGGUACACGAACUUGCUAGGUGGAAGCAAUCUAGUACAUAAACUUAUAAAACGCUCAUUUUGAUACACGAACUUGUUAGGUGCAUGUGAAUCAAGGCCAAAAGAAAAAACAAAGCUAAUCUUAUUUUAGUGUUAAUUAGGAUACUACAUAAACACAUGUGUGAGAAAAAUGCUAAGUACAUAUACAUUUGUUCAAUAAAAAGGGGUUAAUAAGGCCUAAAGAUUGUAUGGAGAAAGACACAAAAAUACUGAGAAAUAGUGCAAGGGGUAGAACAAAGAAUAAUAAAGCACAAAUGCAUGUCUCAUGUCCACCUCCAUAUGCACAUCUCGUCCUAAUCAGUGUAUAACUUAGUAAAAUUGAUUAUGAUGUGUCAUUUUGACCUUGUUUCACAUGCAUCGAACAAAUUCAUGUACCGAAACAAGUCUUUUACAAGUUCGUGUAGUAAAGUGCAUCCAUCUGGCAAUUUACUCUACUAGCAUUUGAAGCUAAAAGGCUUUGGCCUUUUGGAGCCCAGAAAAGCUGUUCUUGAUUCCAGAACAGAUCGUCAUUUUUGGGGUAUAUGCCUCCUCCAGAAUCCUAAAAUUCUCAUUUCAUGUAAGGAAAAUCGCAAGUGUCCAACGCUGAAUCCAUCCCAGAGAUCUCAGUGAGCAAAUUGCACAGCGCCAGUUGGGACUAUUCAAGGAUUUUCAGGGCCAUGCCCUGUACCCAUCAUCCAUCACCCAGCAACAAAACAAGCCGGACCGUAGUGUGUCAAGCAUGCACUGCUUCUGCUCUCCGAUCUAACCGGUAGCCCCCAACUCAUUCUGAACCACACCUUGUGUUUUGGACCACAUCACAAAAUUCAGAAGCAGCAGCAGCAGCAGCAAAGGGUCAAGCAAAAAAUCUAACAGCUUUAUUUAGGCAGAUCCACCUCUCUACAUCAUCAUAGUCAUAGUACAAGAACUCGACGAAUUCAGAAGAAACAUUGGCAGCUACACCUAGAGAAAGAAAAAUGAAAAGAAAAGAAGAUCUAAUAUAUUACAAGGGAUCCUUGGAUAUAUGCUCAUAGCAUUGUUACAUCCCGAGCACCGAGUCGCGACUUGUGGCGAAAACGGGUGCCAUUUCCAUGCUUAUGCCAUUACUGCUUCGCCUGAAAAAAUGAGAUGUUUUUUUUUUGGUUAGAGAUUCAGACUUAUGUUCAUGAAUUGGCUCUUUUGUGAAAAAUGUGAUUUGGUAAAACAUGUGCGGAAAAUCUACCUGAGAGUAGAUGAAAGUUCCGAGAAUCGCAAUGGCGGCUCCGAGGGCGUUGAUGGGCUGGACCGGCGUGUGGAAGAUGAUGAUGGAGGCGACAAUGACGGAGAUCCGCUUCAUGGUGUUGCCGAUGCUGAAUGUCAGUGGUGAGAUCUCGUCCAAUGACAUGUAGGACACUUGGUUGUACAAGUGGUAGAACACACUCUGCGCCGCCACCCACCUACAAAACCACAGAGAAAUCCAUGGCCACAUGAAUCAGCUGGAUUAUCACACAAAAAUAUCAUCAAAUCUUUUGAUACUUCUUAUUUCUCUUUCAGAAUGAACUGAAGAAGAUAUUGCCGCUUAGGAGGAAAUGAUAGUGAUAGGACGAUCCUAUAUCUAUAUUAAUUGAUAAUGGUUCUUUUUGUAUAGAAUACUUGAGUGAUGUUACUGAAAGUACAAAGUGUUGCAUGCUGAAACUGUUUGAAAGCUUAGGUCAAGCACUUAUCACUAGAAAUUUUUUGCCCAAUUGAUACCCAAAAAUCUCAACUGACGUGAUGGUUGUGACAGUGAAACGGUGAGAAGUGGUACAAAGAAAAGCAUGUGAGGCUCACCAGACGAAGUUUGGACCGAUCUCGGCGACGGCUUUUUGCCAGCCGGCAGCCCACACCUUGGGCCCCUCCAUGGCGAAGGCGAAAGGGAGGAGGAUGACCAGCGAGAGCAUGGAGAGGCAGGCGUAGUAGUUCAUCCCGCUCACCGACUUGCCCUUCAUCCCCUUCUUGGAGAAUAUGUUCCGGAACACGAAUGCCAGGUUCGAGAUCAUCGCCCCCAUGAAUCCUGCAUCGAAUUUUCAGCAAUACACGAUGAACAGAUUGAUGUGAUGUGUCAGGUUUAUGAACAAAUUGUGCACUUUUUCGUGGCUGGUGUAUAUUUCUUUAUCUGACAUAAGAAAACAUAUCUUUGGUUAAUGGACAGUUCUUGUUCUGAAGAAUUCUUGGAGAUAAUAUCUAUUUUUUUAAUCAAAAAGUGAGGAUAUUUCUGGUGUAUCUGCUGCAAGUAUCUCCAGGAUUUCAGGUGGAGAGACAGAGAGAUGCAGAGUGUUUGCUCACUCACCAAUCAUGUUGAAAUUGAGCUCGGUGAUGGCGGCGAGGGCGCAUCCGCCGAUGAUUGGGAGGAGGGAGAAGUAGACCGGCGCCGGGAAGUGCUCGCCGAGGAAGAACCUGGAGACGAGCACGCUGAACGCCGGCUCGCCGCUCUUGAUGAUGUGGGUGAACGACACCGCCACCUUCGCCAUGCUCACCGUCGCCGCCACGUGCCCGAUGGUGUGCGCGAUCGCCACCUGCUCGUCCCACAACGAGCAAAAACGAAUCCCCAAAUCCAACGAACGCGUCAGAGAUUCAGAAUAGAACAGAAUCAAGAAGGAGGAGACGAUGGUGUCCAUGGUCAAUGCGAUCUCACCGGUGACAGGGCCUUCCAGAAAUCGAGGUCGGUGGCGGGCGCCUCGGCGAUCCUGGUGGCCCAGGAGGCGAGCAUGAUGGCGGAGCCGGCGGCGAGGGAGAGCGUGGACGUGAGCCACGGGUAAGGGAACGCGUUGAGCACCUUCUUGUUGUAGAUGUUGAAGAUCACGUUCAGCGCCCACCACGUCGCGAAGUAGACCCCGAUCUUGGCCCGCCUCGCCGCCUCCUCCGGCGCCGCGCCCGCCGGUGCAGCCUCCACCGGCCGGGCGCCGUCGGCGGUGGCGGACGGCGGCGGCGGCGCCGGUGACGCGACGCGCGACGCCAGGAAUAACGGGUCCUGCUGCCGGUACAGGGGGCGCGCCGAGAGGGAGAGGGGACGUGGCCCGGCGGCGGCGGCGGCGGCGGCGAAGAGGGGAGGGAGGUGGAGGGGCUUGAAUAAUGCCAUCUUGGGCGCCGUGGCGGUCCCGGCCGUGGAGAGCUUGACGGAGGCGGCGGCGGCGAGCAUAUUGGCGGCGGGAAUGGUGGCGCCGGCUUCUUCAGUUACAGUUACUGUGUUGUGUUGUAGCCGGCCGUCCGUACGUCUAUGGCGGCGAUGGGUUGCGGCCAUAGAGACCGCUCGCAUCGAGUCUUCUUCAAUCCGACUAUAACAAAUUGCUAGCUAGUUCCACGCCCUCCAACGCCCUUUUAGGGAAGGAAGCCUCAAAGGAGGGAGGGCCGCCGAACAAUGUGGUUGAGGACAAUCCAAGGAAAAGGGUGGAGACGAAGAGGGAGCUGGACAAAAGAUAAGUGGUAGAGGGGGGAAUCCUACAGCUAGAAGAACAUCAACCGCGUCAACAGGGAAGGCUGCAAGAAUAGUAGCCAUUCAAGCCAAAGAAAACCGUAGGCACUAACAUAAAAGACCUGACCUAAUCCAUCAAUCAAGGAGCAUGCUAAAAGGAGAUCUAGAGAGAGGGAGAGGCACUGGCAAAUCCUAAUUGAUGGAUCAGAGCCAAGCAUGUUAUGGCAAGGAGCUCGUUGGCUAGCUCAAGGGCGCCUCAAAGAGGAGGGAGGAGGAGGGAUGGGGAUGGAAGAAGGUGUUGGGCAAGGUCACCAGUCCCGCGGGGGAGGGGGGGUCCGAGGCCAGAGCCUGCCACCGGUGCCACGGAUUCGACCAGAUCCAGACGCUAGGAGCGCAGAUCUGCACGCCACCAGUCGGGGGCGCCGGGCCUAGCCUUCAUCGCCGGCUGAGGGGGGGGGGACUAUAAGGAGCCAAGCCGAGGCCCAUCACCGCCCUCACGGACGACACGUCGCCAGACAGCACCGCUGGCGACUGCCCUCCGCGGCCAAGGAGCACGACCGCUCCUUCGCCGGGAACAGCACACCGUCGCCGGGACACACGCCGCCGCACCGCCUCCACCACGCCCCAUCGCGCCACCGCGCACGGCAUUGUUGCUCUCCUCCGGCCAGGUCCAAAAGCAGGGUGCAUUUUUCAUGUUAUGAUACAUGGUUCCUGUUUUCAGGCAAAAACCACCAAGAAGAUUGUGCUGAAGCUGCAAUGCCAAAGCUGCAAGCAUUACUCCCAGCACCCCAUCAAGGUAUUUUUGCAAUGUGAAGAUUCAAGCUGAAAAUUCUCAUGAAUCAGUAUCUUUUUAGAUGUGUUGGAUGCUCACUUACAUAAUUAUUCUGUGCAGAGGUGCAAGCAUUUUAAAAUUGGUGGAGACAAGAAGGGCAAGGGAACGUCUCUUUUCUAAACUACCUACUGGAUACUGAAGUUGUGGGUCUACUGUGCUUCAUACUUCAAUGUUAUUAGGAGCUUAAUUUAAGCAGACCAUAUCAUGUAUUCAAGUACUCUAGCAAGGAUUGGCUUUCUGCUGAAUCAAGUUUUGUUGCUUAAUGCUCAUUGAAUCCAAUGUGAUGCAUGUGUUUAUGUUGCACUGCAAUUUUGUCUUAUGGCAGUUUUAUCUCCCUAAGUACUCGGUGUCUGUUUUUCGUUAUCUUACCUAUGUUUGCAAUCCUAGAGCGACCCACUUAAACGAAUUCCUGUGACAUGAAUCCCUGAGAGGUUAGUCUGAUGAACUUCCAUUUUUCAGACUGAAUUUCGUAUAUGGUUAACUAUACUAUGUUUUGUUCAAUAUCUUCGUCACGAGAUAGAAGGUAUGGAAUACCAUGGAUGGAGGUGAAUUGUAAGAUAGGCCUUGGUCUUGUGAUUGUUAUCUUAGAAGGUCGAUACUAAUGUUUGGUCUUGUGGCGUUAGUGAAACUGUUUUCGUAGCAAUGUUUGGUCUUGUGAUGUUAGUGAACUGUUUUCGUAGCAUUGUAGUACUUGUUCCAUUCUUCAUGCAUGAUUUGGAUAGGUUAUUGACAAUUGUUUAUAGUAAUGAAUUAAAUAUUACACUCCUAAAUCUAUUAUAUAAUUAAAGGAAUAGAAAAAAGAGCCUCCACGUUUACUCUCAUGGCUUAGAAAUUCUCACAUUAAUCGGAGAAAAAAAAACAGAGUCCAUAUAGAAAUACAAUUUAGAAAUAGCUGAAAUUCGGAAUUAAAAAAUAAGGAAUAUUAGAAGAGAAGACUAGAGUUCAUAUAGAAAUACACUUUAGAAAUAGUUGAAAUUUGGAAUUAAAAAAUAAGGAAUAUUAGAAGAGGAGUAUAGAGUCCAUAUAGAAAUACAAUUAGGAAAUAAUAGAAAUUCGGAAUUAAAAAUAAAGAAUAUUAGAAGUAGAGUAUAGAGUCCAUAUAGAAAUACAAUUAGGAAAUAAUAGAAAUUCUGAAUUAAAAAUAAGGAAUAUUAGAAGUAGAGUAUAAAGUCCAUAUAGAAAUACAAUUAAGAAAAAAUAGAAAUUCAGAAUUAAAAAAUAAGAAAUAUUAGAAGUAGAGUAUAGAGUCCAUAUAGGAAUUUAAAACUAACUAAAAUUCGGAAAAAAAAAGGAGCCUCUACGUUCGCUCCCAUGGCCUAGAAAUUCUCACAUUAAUCGAAGAAAAAGAAAAAAACAGAGUUCAUAUAGAAAUACAAUUUAGAAAUAGCUGAAAUUCAGAAUUAAAAAUAAGGAAUAUUAGAAGAGGAGACUAGAGUCCAUAUAGAAAUACACUUUAGAAAUAGCUGAAAUUCGGAAUUAAAAAAAGAAAUAUUAGAAUAGGAGUAUAGAGUCCAUAUAGAAAUACAAUUAGGAAAUAGUUGAAAUUCGGAAUUAAAAAUAAGGAAUAUUAGAAGUAGAGUAUAGAGUCCAUAUAGAAAUACAAUUAGGAAAUAAUUGAAAUUCGGAAUUAAAAAUAAGGAAUAUUAGAAGUAGAGUAUAGAGUCCAUAUAGAAAUACAAUUAGGAAAUAACUGAAAUUCGGAAUUAAAAAUAAGGAAUAUUAGAAGUAGAGCAUAGAGUCCAUAUAGAAAUACAAUUAAGAAAAAAAAUAGAAAUUUGGAAUUAAAAAUAAGAAAUAUUAGAAGUAGAGUAUAGAGUCCAUAUAGGAAUUUCAAACUAACUAAAAUUCGGAAAAAAAAAGGAGCCUUCACGUUCGCUCUCAUGAUCUAGAAAUUCUCACAUUAAUCGGAGAAAAAGAAAAAGCAGAAUCUAUAUAGAAAUACAAUUUAGAAAUAGCUGAAAUUCGGAAUUAAAAAAAAGAAAUAUUAAAAGAGGAGACUAGAGUCCAUAUAGAAAUACAAUUUAGAAAUAGUUGAAAUUCGGAAUUAAAAAAUAAGGAAUAUUAGAAGUGGAGACUAGAGUCCAUAUAGAAAUACAAUUAGGAAAUAACUGAAAUUCGAAAUUAAAAAUAAGGAAUAUUAGAAGUAGAGUAUAGAGUACAUAUAGAAAUACAAUUAGGAAAUAACCGAAAUUUGGAAUUAAAAAUAAGAAAUAUUAGAAGUAGAGUAUAGAGUCCUUAUAGAAAUACAAUUAAGAAAAAAAAUAGAAAUUUGGAAUUAAAAAAUAAGGAAUAUUAGAAGUAGAAUAUAGAGUUCAUAUUGGAAUUUAAAACCAACUAAAAUUCGGAAUAAAAAGGAGCUUUCAGGUUCGCUCUCAUGGCAUAGAAAUUCUCACAUUAAUCAGAGAAAAAGAAAAAACAGAGUCCAUAUAGAAAUACAAUUUAGAAAUAGCUGAAAUUCAGAAUUAAAAAAUAAGAAAUAUUAGAAGAGGAGACUAGAGUAGUUAUUACACAUUAGUAGUUUUGAAAAGUUAUUGCAAAAUUUAAAAUUAUGUUGUCAUUGUAAUAUAUUAUAAUAAUAUAAUGAGAAAACAUAUAUGCUAUUAUAUGAGAGAAAAUAUAAUGAUGCUAGCCGCGCAAUAUGCGCAGGCCACCAUGCUAGUUAUUAUAAACCGAAUAAAUAGCUUAGAACGAGCCAGGCAAUGCUGAUGUAGAAAAUUUCUAGUUUGAGAACAGUGGUAUGCAUAUCCCGAAGUUCAUAAGCUGAAAAGAUUGCACCCUAAAUCUAAUGUAUUGUAAUUUUCCUGUACUGAAAAUGCUGAGGGGGGGACUACAAGGAGCCAAGCCGAGGCCCGUCACCGCCCUCACGGACGACACGUCGCCAGACAGCACCGCUAGCGACUGCCCUCCGCGGCCAAGGAGCACGACCGCUCCUUCGCCGGGAACAGCACACCGUCGCCGGGACACACGCCGCCGCACCGCCUCCACCACGCCCCAUCGCGCCACCGCGCACGGCAUUGUUGCUCUCCUCCGGCCAGGUCCAAAAGCAGGGUGCCAGAUCCAGCCACGGGGGCGCCAGAUCCGAAGCUUCGCGCCGCGCUGAUGUCAGCCCCCACCUAUCACGCGCCGCGUCAUCAUCCUCACGCUGAGCCGUCGCGUCGCCGAGGAAUGGCCUCGCCGCCGCCCUCACAGUUGGCCGCGCGGAACUCCGGUGGCGCGCUCCGGCGGCGGCGAGGGGGGAGAGGAAGGGAGGGGGCGGCGGGGGCUAGGGUUCACCCCCUGUGCCGCUCGCGUGAGAGGGCGACGCGGGGGUCGUGCCGGCUUCGUACUCUUCCAAUUGAGGAUAAGAUGAACUGAUGUGAUAAGUAGUACGGGAUUGUACUUAUUUUAAAACAAAAUUUGAAUAUAAAAUCAUACUUAUUUUAGAAGGAUUGUAGUAUUUGGACUUGGGAGUAAUUUUACUGUUCUUGGUAUUAGAAGGUACCAUUUCUUUUAUAUAAAACUUGGUAUUUCUCGAGGUAUAAAAAACAUACGGUUAGGACCGUAACGAACUGUGUUAGCUGUAGGUUUGCAUCUGUUCCCAAGGUGAUUUAAUUUGAGCAAUUGCAAAUAGCUUUUUCUUCUUUCACUCGGCAGCUGAAUCUUGCUUGGUGGAGUACUCGGGCCGUGCACGUUCAUCCACGGGUUUGAUUUGACAUUGGUCAUGAGCGCGUUUUAGUGGACAAAGUGGUGGUUAGCAUAGUGAAAUUGUCAACGCGAGAAGCAGAAACCAAUUGCUGUUGCUGUCGCCGGUACCAAUACUGUAUGGUGUUCCUGUUCCAUCAGAAUUCAGUCGAGUGCAUGGCAGCUCAUUCUUGUGGCCCAUCACACAAUUAAUCUCCGACGAUGUACUGUACGUAGUGGAGCAUUUAGAUUAGUAAUUCUCGAAUACAUUUUCGUAAGGGUUAAGUGGGCAUAUGUAACGUGUUCACUCCUUGUUACUAUCUCUGUUUUCAGAUGAGUGACAUCAUCAGCAUAGUCCGCAAUACACAUUUUAUCAUCAUAACAAUUUUACACUAUAAAAAACGAUUUUUCGUGAUGUUACCCUAUAUUUUACGCUGGCGUCCAUAUGCAAAAACCGCCAAAAAAACAUAACAAUAGGUGGGGGGCUACGGACCACCAGCAGAAACCAAUUUUUGCUGAUAACCACGCUAAGAGAAAUGCCUAAAAAAACUACUCUAUUUUUCGAGACGAACCUCUUAAGUGUCUGCCAGUUUUUCGAGGCGGACCUCUUAAGUGUCCGCCAGCGAAAAAUCUCAUUUUCACCGGCAGUAGGUAAGGAGGACCACUGCGAAAAAUGUUUUGGGCGAAUAUAUAAAUCUACUGUCCCCCACCCCCACCGCUCCCUUCUCCCUUCCCCCACUGCGCGGCCCCUCCGCCGCCUCUCUUCCUUCUCUCUCGGUUUCACCUUCUUCCUCCCUUCUCCACCGCCGCCGGCUGCCGUCGCCUCUACCGCCUCUCCGCGGUGGUGGGGCGUGGCCUCCUCCUCUCCACCGCUAGCCGCCAUAAGCUCGGGGCCGGAUUCGGCCGCUGCGACGAUGGUGGAGGCCGGAUCUGCCGCCGCGACGACGGGGGAGGCUAGAUCCGUCGCCGCGACCGCCGCAGGGCCACUAGUCUCUAAAGACUAAACUAUAUAUUUAAAAAAACAUUACCAAUAUAACUUUAUGAAAGAGAGUUUCUCAUAAAAAAAAAUAUACCAAUAUAACUUUUCAUAUUUUAAAUAUUUUUACGUCUAUUAAAUUUUUAAGGUUUCAAGAUUUGACUGCACUUACAGGAGAUACUACUAUACAAGAAUCAACGAGAAACGAAUUUUUAAGUUGCGAUAAACUGGUAGUAGUAAGAUUUUGUGAACAAGGAUAAUGCAUAUCUGUGUAAAAAAAAUAUAUAGUGCAAAUCACAUAUACAUUGAAAAUCUAGAAACUAUUGUCACGAGUAAAAUUUUUACCAACCAAACGGCCACAAUGUCGCGCAGGGCUUAUCCGGGGCACUACUGCCCAUGGGCUGAAAGUGCGGCCACAAGCCCACAAUAUCUUGCGGGGCUUAGCCGGGGCACCACGGCCCAUGGGCUCUAUCUCCCUCACCAGUAAAGCCCUAGCCUCCAAGACCGCACCCGUAUAAAGCUGCAGACCUCUCUCUCCUUCUCCUCCCCCGCCACCGCCGCUCGCCUCCGAAACCCUAGCCGCCCCCUCCCCGCGGCCGCGAAAAUGGUACGCUUCUCCCUCCUCCUCCUCCUCCUCCUCCCCUCCGCCGCACGACGGGAAGAUCGCACGCGUGCUUGUCCUCGUGCCAGUCCACGGCUCCGCGCGCCGUCUUUCUCAUGGUGUUUCACAAUUUGUAGGAUGCGUUCUUUAUUCAUGUUGAUCUGCCGUAGAUGGGGGGAUCUUGAGCCGGAGGAGAGGAGUAGCUAGUUUCUUUGAUUAUGCGUUUUGGGGUCUAGCGGAUUUUAACAUGAGAUGGUUUCUCUUUAGCGACAUUUUUUUUGUUCAUGUUGAUGUCCACGGUGAUUGUUCUAGUUAUGUCAUUUUUAUCUUCAAGACUUCAAUGCUUUGAAUCGUGGGUAUAGACCAGAUUAUUGUCGUGAAGAUCGACGUAUUUUCCGAGCUGACCCUCUGCAUGCUGAAAAUUUUGUAGUGGGUUAUAUCUAGAUUAUAUGUGUAUUGUUGUCAUUUAAUUAGCACUUAAACUUCUGUAGUAUGAACAUUUUCAUCAUUUUCCUGUGAGGACAUGGGAUGAGUUCCUUUUUUUUUCUCUUGUUCUAAAAUUGUUCGGUAAUCUUGUCUGGCUUUGACUGAUGGGCUCCGAUGAUGGCAUGAAAUCUUUGAGACCUGACAUUCUUGUGAUGACAAACAUAAGCAUAUUUCCUGAGACCCAAUUGAGGUUUUAACCAUUGGUUUGCUGAAUGUGUCUUCACUGUUGAAAAAUUUGUACACACAUUUGCUUCAAAUUAUGCACAUUUGAUUAUUGUUUAUAGGCCUGCGAUGUCCAUUCCACAUUCAGUAUUUGUUAAGCUGAGUGCUUUUGUUUCAAAUUUGUUUUGUAUAGGUGAACGUUCCCAAGACCAAGAAGACCUACUGCAAGAACAAGGAGUGCAGGAAGCACACCCUUCACAAGGUCACUCAGUACAAGAAGGGUAAGGACAGCCUGUCUGCCCAGGGAAAGCGCCGUUAUGACCGAAAGCAGUCAGGAUAUGGUGGUCAGACCAAGCCUGUUUUCCACAAGAAGGUACUGUGACAGUUUAUAUAUGAUUAUGCAGUGUUGUGUGUGACUCUCUGUUCAUUAGAAACGUACGGUGUCAUGAUUGAUGUAGCAGUGAUAUGUGUCUGUACAAUGCAUGUGGCAAUAACCAUCACGUAGUUUUAAUUGCAUGUGGCUUUCAGCUGUGCAUUUUUCAUGUUAUGAUACAUGGUUCCUGUUUUCAGGCAAAAACCACCAAGAAGAUCGUGCUGAAGCUGCAAUGCCAAAGCUGCAAGCAUUACUCCCAGCACCCCAUCAAGGUAUUAUUUCAUUGUCAAGACUCCAGAGCUGAAAAUUAUCAUGAAUCAUUAUUUUGCUGGAUGUGUUGGAUGCUCACUUGCAUAAUUGUUCUCUGCAGAGGUGCAAGCAUUUCGAGAUUGGUGGAGACAAGAAGGGCAAGGGAACAUCUCUUUUCUAAAUUGCUUGCUACCUACUGGAUACUAUAGUUGUUGGUCUACUGUGCUUCAAUAUUUCAAUGUUAUUAGGAGCUUAUUUAAGCAGACCAUAUCAAUGUAUUCAAGUAUCAUCGUCUGACAUUUACUCUAGCAAGGAUUGGCUUUCUGCUGAAUCAAGUUUUGUUGCUUAAUGCUCGUUGAAUCCAAUGUGAUGCAUGUGUUUAUAUUUUGCUGCAAUUUUAUCUUACGACAGUUCUAUUUACCUUAGUCCUCAGUAUCCCUUUUCUUUUUUUGUUAUCUUACCUGCUGUCUUUUGAUUAGUAGUUAGCAAACAUAGAGCGACCCACUUUAAUUACUUCCCGUGACAUGAAUAUGACCUCGAGAGAUUAGUCUAGUGAACUUCCUUUUUCAGACUGAAUGUUGUAUUGUUAACUGUACUGGCGUUUGGUCAGUAUCUUUCGAAAGAGAUGGAAUGUAGGGACGUAAUUUUAUUGCAAGAUAAUUCAUUUGUUCUUGUGGUUCAGUAUCUUGGAAGGUCUUGUGAUAUUAGUGAAUUCUUUUCGUAGCAUUGCAGUACUUGCUCUGUCCUUAAUGCAUGAUUCGAUAGGCUACGCAAUCCCGUUUGUAGUAAUGAAUUAAAAAUUAUAUAUUAUUAUGAACCGAAUAAAUAGCUUCGAACAAGCUAAGCAAUGCUGAUGUAGAAAAAAAUUAGUUUGAGAACCGUGGUAUAUUCCAAAGUUUGUAACUGUCAUAAGCUGCCCCCCAACCCACCCAAAAAAACCGGAUGGCAGCAAUCACAACUUAGCAUUGCUGCUCAUGGCAAUGUUCAUAUACUAUGAGUGCGGGUUAGUUCAGACUACAGACACGUGUGGUAAUUGUUUUUUUUUUAGUUUUUUAUUUUGUUUGUUAGGUGGUGUUUGGAUCCAGGGAUUAAACUUUAGUCUUUGUUUUAGAUACUAAUUUAGAGUAUUAAAUAUUGACUACUUACAAAACUAAUUACAUAAAUGAGAGCUAAUUCGUGAGACAAAUUUUUUAGGGUUAAUUGGAUAGAUGCCAUUAUAAAAUCUUUAGUUUUGAAAUAUACCGUUACUAUUAAACUAUUUAGAAACAUGCCAUUACAACUUUUUCAGGUAUUGGAAAUAUGUCACUGUACAACCUUUGGAUGUGUUUAACAAAAAUUUUAGACCAAAUCGCUCUCGUCUUCUCCUUUGUCUCCACCCUCUCCUGUUCAUCUUCUUUCUUCCAUUUCUUUCCCUUUUGGAUCUGGUAUCUUAGUAUUCUUCCUCCACAUCUCCUUUCUCGGCCAGCAACGGCGGUGUUGUGCUGCACCAUCUAGUUUCCCUUCUUCCCUUCGCUGGCCGCAUCACCACCUUCUCAGUUUCCAGCCUCCCCGAGGUCUACUGCAACAACCAAGACGCGGAGCAUGUCGUUCUUGAAUGUCCAGCACCCGGACGCCCAAGGACGUGCCCCUGUCGGUGCAGCUGGAGUCAUUCGCCUACAGCGGCUUCACCAUGGCGUGGUCCACGUCCACCGAUUACGUGCUCGUCGACGAGCGCGCCUUGUGCACAGGGCCGGUCCUGAGUUUUCAAGCUCUAGGACAAAAACUUACGUGGAGGCCCCUAUAUAUAUACAUAAACUAAUAUAUAUAUUUAUAGUCUUAUAAACAUGUAAUAUUUAAUAUUUGAUAUGAUAAAAUUAUCUAUAUAUAAUAUUUUAAAACUUUCAAAGAGAAAUAAUAUAAUCAUAAACACUUACUUGGCACUUUCAAAAGUUUCUUCUAAAAUUUCAAUGAAAUCAUCCGAACAUUUUUUCCGUUUUCUUUUUUCGCUACCGGAUACAUAUUUUCUUGACAAUAUGAUUAAUGUUGUGCUAAAAAAUAAUCAUUAAUUAUUAAGUAGUACAAGCUAAUAAUUUUUGAUCUAUAAAGAGGAAAAAGAAAGAUAGAGAAAAUUACCUUAGACGACGACUGCGAGGCGCGAGCAGCCGAUCGGCCGAUGAGGGCGCGCCGCCGGGCGGUUGGCCUCCAAUCGACGUAGUCAGCCAGUCAUGCAGAGCCGCUGCGAUUUGCUGCCGAUUGCCGUGUUUGCGUUGCGGUUUGCCGCCGUUUACCGUUUGCAACGCGACGCGAGGCGUGAUCGAGGCGACGGGAACGGAGUCAGAUCGCUUCACUUUUCCUUCGCUCCUCUUCGUCUUCUGUCUUCGAUACCAUACAUGAUUCAGGACUGAGAGCGAUGCUGACCCUGGGGGCGUCGUGGGCCAUGGCCCAUCCGCCAUGGGGCCCCCUAAAUUUUGGGGGACUCGGGCGUGCGCACGGGCUGACCCCCCCUAGGGCCGGCCCUGCUUGUGCAUGAUCCUGACAAAGUGACUAUUACUGUGUACUCCUAAUCUCACAGCAGCAAGAAACGGGAGGAAGAAGAUGAACAACAGAACAGGAGAGAUGGGGGAGGCAAAGGAAGAAGACGGGGGCAAUUUGGUCCAAAAUUUUUGUUAGACAUAUCCAAGGGGUAUGUAAUGGUAUAUUUCCAAUACCUGAAAAAUUAUAAUGGCAUACCUCCAAAUAGUUGAGUAGUAAUGGUAUAUUUCAAAACUGAAGAAUUUACAAUGGCAUGUAUCCAAUUAACCCAAUUUUUUAAGCCUAAUUAAUUCAUAAUUAUAGAAUGUUUAUUGUAUCAUCACAUAGGCUAAUCAUGGAUUUAUUAGGCUCAAUAGAUUCGUCUCGCGAAUAAGUCCAAGAUUAUGGAUAGGUUUUGUUAAUAGUCUAUAUUUAAUACUUCUAAUUAGUGUCCAAACAUCCAAUUUGGAAGGGACUAAAAAAUUUUAGUCCAUUCCAAACACCUCCUUAUUAUUUUUAUCAAAUAGCCACGUAAGCGUCAUGUCAAUAGCACGUGGGACGAAGACCCCUAGUCAAAGGCGUCAUGUCAGCUAAAACCGGAGACAUUGCUACCGAGAGAGCUCGUUUGCACAGUUUGAAGAAGGUGUCAUGUCAGCCAAAACCAGAAAUAUUAUUACCGAGGGACCUCGUUUGCACACUUUGAAGGAUGGAUUGUAUAUGGUUUUCGGAUAAGGAUGAAAAACAGACUAAGCGACAAAGUAAGAGACCUAAAGUGAACUUAUUUGAGGGAUAAAGUCCACUUGGACUUCCUUAACUAUAAGGGAAUAAGUUCACCUGACGUCCCUUAACUUUAAGUCGAGUUCGUCUGAGGUUCCUAAUCCACAAUAAAAUCUCUACCUCUCAACUAAUCAUAAACCGUGCGAAAAAGAUCACAAAACAGACGGAGCGAUGAAGUAAGGGACCUAAAGUGAACUCAUUUUGAGGGAUAAAGUCACUUCAUAACUAUAAGGGAAUAUAAGUUCACCUGACGGCCCUCAACUUUAUGUUGAGUUUGUCUGAGGUCCCUAAUCCGCGAUAGCAAAAAUCUCUACCCCUCAACUAUCAUAAACCGUGCAAAAAAGAUCCCAAGACAAUAUUGAUCCAUUUUCUCCGGUUUUGCUGACGUGGCAUACGGUGGGACCCACAUGUCAGCGUCCUGUCUUCUCCUCUUUUCUUUUUUCUUUUUUUUUCUUCUUGUCUUUUCUUUCUUCUCUCUUCUCCUCUUCCCUUCUUCUCCUAGCCUGAGAGGCCGGCGGGCGGGCGAGCAGGCGACGGCAGGCGGUGGCGGCGGUGUGCGGAGCAGGCAAGGGGUAACGGGUGGCGGGCGAGCGACGGCGCCUCAGAGAGGGUGUGGUGUGGGCGUCGCUGUGCUGUGGCGGGCGGAGCGGGGUGGCGGCGGUGGGGUGCAGAGGACGACGACAUAUGGAAGUGAUGGCGGACGCUGUAGGGGACGAUGGCGAGGAGGACGAAGUAGGCCGGGAGAGGAUGACUCCGACGCGCUUGGGGUUUCACCAGGAGACCUCGCCUUCACCGUCUUCGUGCCCUCACCAGAGUCGUUCCACCGCGUCCUCAGGCUGCGGCGUCCCAAUAACAACGUUGCCGAUGGGUGGGUCUCACAUUUUCCUUCUAUUUCACUUACAUGUGGGACUCACAUAUUAUUUUAUUCCUAUUUUGCUAACUAGGAUGCCACGUUAGUGAAACCAAGACAUCUAUACUGCCAUAGGACAUAAAUUGAACGGUUUUGUAUAUUUGGGGUGAAGAUUUCUGGUAUUGAGGAUAAGGGAUGGCAAACAAACUCGGUGUAAAGUUGAGGGACAUCAGAUGAACUUAUUCCAACUAUAAGGCAACGCAUCACGGUGCAUGGCCCAUGGGCUGCGCAUUCUGGCCCACAAAGCAGCACACGCACCAGUAAACCCUAGCCUCCAGGAGCUCACCCGUAUAAAGUCGCAGACCUUCUCCUUCCCCUCCCCGCCGCCACUCGCCGCAGCGUGUCGACCAGACAAGGCAGCGCCUCCGAAACCCUAGCUCCCCGCCUUCCCCUCCGCGGCCGCCAAAAUGGUACGCUUCUUCCUCCUCCCCGUCCGCCUCUCUCCGCCGCACGACGGCAAGAUCAUGCGCUCGUGUGUCCUCGUGCCAGUCCACGGCACCCUGCUCUGGUCGAUUUGUAGGGGGAUUGCGUUCUUUAUUCAUGUUGAUCUGCUGUAGAUGGGGGCGAUCUUGAGCCGGAGGAGUAGCUAGUUUCUUAUUGAUGCGGUUUCGGGGUUUUUAGAGAUUUAACACGGUUUCGCGGUUUCUCUUUAGCGAUUUCUUUUUUCAUGUUGAUAUAAUGAUAUCCACGGUGGUUGUUCUAGUUAUGUCAUUUUUAUCUUGAGUGCUUUGUGUGAUUGUUUUUCAAUUGUGGGUAGAGACCAGAUUAUUGUCGUUAAGAUGCAUGCUCUGAAACGCGGAAUUUUUUUGUAAUGGGUUAUAUCUAGAUUAUGUGUAUUGCUGUCAUUCAAUAGUCUUUUCUUAAUACAAGGCGCAACCGUCUUUUCUUCAAGUACCAGUAUACAAGGCGGCAACUGCUCAACUCCGUACUUGGUGCAUGCAAGCAUUGAAUGGAUGGUUGCAUGAGCUCAUGAUAUUCGGUUCAUUAGUUUAAAGGCAAAGGAUCCACCACUCGGAUGCUUGCAUGCACGCGCAAAAACUGCAGGACACGGGUGCAUGCUGCUUUGGCACUAGAUGCGAUGAACUGAUCAAAGCGUCACGCAUUGGAACGCGCUGGAAUAAAUCGGUACGAUGGGUAGUUAUAGGUUUUCUUGUUCUCCGAGUCCAAACAAGUUAUGCCUUGUAUUAAGGAAUGGAGGGAGUAGCAAUUAACUUCUGGAGUAAACAUUUUUCAUCAUCUUCCUUGAGGACGUGGGAUGAAUUCUUUUUUUUAUCUUGUGCGAAAAUUGUUUGGUAAUCAUGUCUGGUUUUGACUGAUGGGCUCCGAUGAUGGCAUGAAAUCUUUGAGACCUGACAUUCUUGUGAUGACAAACAUAAGCAUAUUUCCUGAGGACCCAAUUGAGGUUUUAACCAUUGGUCUGCUGAAUUUGUCUUUGCUGUCGAAAAAUAUCGAUUCACAUGUGCUUCUGAUUAUGCACAUUUGAUUGUGUUGUUUAUAGGCCUGCUAUGUGCUUUCCAAUAACCAGUAUUUGUUAAAUUUGUUUCAUAUUUCUUAUGUAUAGGUGAACGUUCCCAAGACCAAGAAGACCUACUGCAAGAACAAGGAGUGCAGGAAGCACACCCUUCACAAGGUCACUCAGUACAAGAAGGGUAAGGACAGCCUGUCUGCCCAGGGAAAGCGCCGUUAUGACCGUAAGCAGUCAGGAUAUGGUGGUCAGACCAAGCCUGUUUUCCACAAGAAGGUAUUGUGACAGUUUAUAUGUGAUUACGCAGUGCUGUGUGUGAUUGUCUCUCUUCAUUAGAAACAUAUGGUGUCAUGAUUUGUGUCUGUUCAAUGCAAACAUGUGGCAAUAACCAUCAUGUAGUUUUAAUGUAUCUGACUUUCAGCUGUGCAUUUUUCAUGUUAUGAUACAUGGUUCCUGUUUUCAGGCAAAAACCACCAAGAAGAUUGUGCUGAAGCUGCAAUGCCAAAGCUGCAAGCAUUACUCCCAGCACCCCAUCAAGGUAUUAUUUCAUUGUCAAGACUCAAGCUGAAAAUUGUCAUGAAUCAAUCAGUAUCUUUUUAGAUGUGUUGGGUGCUAUCUUACAUUAUUAUUCUUUACAGAGGUGCAAGCAUUUCGAGAUUGGUGGAGACAAGAAGGGCAAGGGAACAUCUCUUUUCUAAACUACCUACUGGAUACUGAAGUUGUGGGUCUAUUGUGCUUCAUACUUCAAUGUUAUUAGGAACUUAAUUUAAGCAGACCAUAUCAUGUAUUCAAGUAUCAUCGUCUGACAUUUACUCUAGCAAGGAUUGGCUUUCUGCUGAAUCAAGUUUUCUUGCUUAAUGCUCGUCGAAUCCAAUGUGAUGCAUGUCUUUAGAUGGCACUGCAAUUGUGACUUUUGUCUUAUGGCAGUUUUAUCUCCCUAAGUCCUCAGUGUCUGUUUUUCGUUAUCUUACCCGAGUUUGCAAUCCUAGAGCGACCCACGUAAACGAAUUCCUGUGACAUGAAUCCCUGAGAGGCUAGUCUGAUGAACUUCCGUUUUUCAGAUCGAAUUUCGUAUAUGGUUAACUAUACUAUGUUUUGUUCAAUAUCUUCGUAACGAGAUGGAAGGUAUGGAAUACUAUGGAUGGAGGUGAAUUGAAAGAUAGGCCUUGGUCUUGUGAUUGUUAUCUUAGAAGGUCGAUACUAAUGUUUGGUCUUGUGGCGUUAGUGAAACUGUUUUCGUAGCAAUGUUUGGUCUUGUGAUGUUAUUGAACUGUUUUCGUAGCAUUGUAUUACUUGUUCCAUUCUUCAUGCAUGAUUUGGAUAGGUUAUUGACAAUUGUUUAUAGUAAUGAAUUAAAUAUUACACUCCUAAAUUAUUAUAAACCGAAUAAAUAGCUUAAAGCGAGCCAGGCAAUGCUGAUGUAGAAAAUUUCUAGUUUGAGAACCGUGGUAUGCAUAUCCCGAAGUUCAUAAGCUGAAAAGAUUGCACCCUAAAUCUAAUGUAUUGUAGUUUUCCUGUACUGAAAAUGCUGUUGGAUCGGACAGCCGUGGUGAUUGGUUGCGUUCAUUUUCAAGUUGUAGCCAAGUUAAAUAAAGUAUAGAAGGAUAUGCAAGUAGCAACAUCGGAGGAGUGCCAUCGCAGUGAUCCUCCCAAAAAGCACGAAAGAAACAUCUUCAUUGGAACCUAAGCAGCUCUGGCCUUUUGAGCCCAGAAAAGCUAUCCUUGAUUCAAGCACAAACCGUCAUUUGGUUAUAUGCUUUCUCCAAAUACUAGCAUGAGUAAAUUGCAUUGGCGGUACACGAACUUGCUAGGUGGAAGCAAUCUAGUACAUAAACUUAUAAAACGCUCAUUUUGAUACACGAACUUGUUAGGUGCAUGUGAAUCAAGGCCAAAAGAAAAAACAAAGCUAAUCUUAUUUUAGUGUUAAUUAGGAUACUACAUAAACACAUGUGUGAGAAAAAUGCUAAGUACAUAUACAUUUGUUCAAUAAAAAGGGGUUAAUAAGGCCUAAAGAUUGUAUGGAGAAAGACACAAAAAUACUGAGAAAUAGUGCAAGGGGUAGAACAAAGAAUAAUAAAGCACAAAUGCAUGUCUCAUGUCCACCUCCAUAUGCACAUCUCGUCCUAAUCAGUGUAUAACUUAGUAAAAUUGAUUAUGAUGUGUCAUUUUGACCUUGUUUCACAUGCAUCGAACAAAUUCAUGUACCGAAACAAGUCUUUUACAAGUUCGUGUAGUAAAGUGCAUCCAUCUGGCAAUUUACUCUACUAGCAUUUGAAGCUAAAAGGCUUUGGCCUUUUGGAGCCCAGAAAAGCUGUUCUUGAUUCCAGAACAGAUCGUCAUUUUUGGGGUAUAUGCCUCCUCCAGAAUCCUAAAAUUCUCAUUUCAUGUAAGGAAAAUCGCAAGUGUCCAACGCUGAAUCCAUCCCAGAGAUCUCAGUGAGCAAAUUGCACAGCGCCAGUUGGGACUAUUCAAGGAUUUUCAGGGCCAUGCCCUGUACCCAUCAUCCAUCACCCAGCAACAAAACAAGCCGGACCGUAGUGUGUCAAGCAUGCACUGCUUCUGCUCUCCGAUCUAACCGGUAGCCCCCAACUCAUUCUGAACCACACCUUGUGUUUUGGACCACAUCACAAAAUUCAGAAGCAGCAGCAGCAGCAGCAAAGGGUCAAGCAAAAAAUCUAACAGCUUUAUUUAGGCAGAUCCACCUCUCUACAUCAUCAUAGUCAUAGUACAAGAACUCGACGAAUUCAGAAGAAACAUUGGCAGCUACACCUAGAGAAAGAAAAAUGAAAAGAAAAGAAGAUCUAAUAUAUUACAAGGGAUCCUUGGAUAUAUGCUCAUAGCAUUGUUACAUCCCGAGCACCGAGUCGCGACUUGUGGCGAAAACGGGUGCCAUUUCCAUGCUUAUGCCAUUACUGCUUCGCCUGAAAAAAUGAGAUGUUUUUUUUUUGGUUAGAGAUUCAGACUUAUGUUCAUGAAUUGGCUCUUUUGUGAAAAAUGUGAUUUGGUAAAACAUGUGCGGAAAAUCUACCUGAGAGUAGAUGAAAGUUCCGAGAAUCGCAAUGGCGGCUCCGAGGGCGUUGAUGGGCUGGACCGGCGUGUGGAAGAUGAUGAUGGAGGCGACAAUGACGGAGAUCCGCUUCAUGGUGUUGCCGAUGCUGAAUGUCAGUGGUGAGAUCUCGUCCAAUGACAUGUAGGACACUUGGUUGUACAAGUGGUAGAACACACUCUGCGCCGCCACCCACCUACAAAACCACAGAGAAAUCCAUGGCCACAUGAAUCAGCUGGAUUAUCACACAAAAAUAUCAUCAAAUCUUUUGAUACUUCUUAUUUCUCUUUCAGAAUGAACUGAAGAAGAUAUUGCCGCUUAGGAGGAAAUGAUAGUGAUAGGACGAUCCUAUAUCUAUAUUAAUUGAUAAUGGUUCUUUUUGUAUAGAAUACUUGAGUGAUGUUACUGAAAGUACAAAGUGUUGCAUGCUGAAACUGUUUGAAAGCUUAGGUCAAGCACUUAUCACUAGAAAUUUUUUGCCCAAUUGAUACCCAAAAAUCUCAACUGACGUGAUGGUUGUGACAGUGAAACGGUGAGAAGUGGUACAAAGAAAAGCAUGUGAGGCUCACCAGACGAAGUUUGGACCGAUCUCGGCGACGGCUUUUUGCCAGCCGGCAGCCCACACCUUGGGCCCCUCCAUGGCGAAGGCGAAAGGGAGGAGGAUGACCAGCGAGAGCAUGGAGAGGCAGGCGUAGUAGUUCAUCCCGCUCACCGACUUGCCCUUCAUCCCCUUCUUGGAGAAUAUGUUCCGGAACACGAAUGCCAGGUUCGAGAUCAUCGCCCCCAUGAAUCCUGCAUCGAAUUUUCAGCAAUACACGAUGAACAGAUUGAUGUGAUGUGUCAGGUUUAUGAACAAAUUGUGCACUUUUUCGUGGCUGGUGUAUAUUUCUUUAUCUGACAUAAGAAAACAUAUCUUUGGUUAAUGGACAGUUCUUGUUCUGAAGAAUUCUUGGAGAUAAUAUCUAUUUUUUUAAUCAAAAAGUGAGGAUAUUUCUGGUGUAUCUGCUGCAAGUAUCUCCAGGAUUUCAGGUGGAGAGACAGAGAGAUGCAGAGUGUUUGCUCACUCACCAAUCAUGUUGAAAUUGAGCUCGGUGAUGGCGGCGAGGGCGCAUCCGCCGAUGAUUGGGAGGAGGGAGAAGUAGACCGGCGCCGGGAAGUGCUCGCCGAGGAAGAACCUGGAGACGAGCACGCUGAACGCCGGCUCGCCGCUCUUGAUGAUGUGGGUGAACGACACCGCCACCUUCGCCAUGCUCACCGUCGCCGCCACGUGCCCGAUGGUGUGCGCGAUCGCCACCUGCUCGUCCCACAACGAGCAAAAACGAAUCCCCAAAUCCAACGAACGCGUCAGAGAUUCAGAAUAGAACAGAAUCAAGAAGGAGGAGACGAUGGUGUCCAUGGUCAAUGCGAUCUCACCGGAGACAGGGCCUUCCAGAAAUCGAGGUCGGUGGCGGGCGCCUCGGCGAUCCUGGUGGCCCAGGAGGCGAGCAUGAUGGCGGAGCCGGCGGCGAGGGAGAGCGUGGACGUGAGCCACGGGUAAGGGAACGCGUUGAGCACCUUCUUGUUGUAGAUGUUGAAGAUCACGUUCAGCGCCCACCACGUCGCGAAGUAGACCCCGAUCUUGGCCCGCCUCGCCGCCUCCUCCGGCGCCGCGCCCGCCGGUGCAGCCUCCACCGGCCGGGCGCCGUCGGCGGUGGCGGACGGCGGCGGCGGCGCCGGUGACGCGACGCGCGACGCCAGGAAUAACGGGUCCUGCUGCCGGUACAGGGGGCGCGCCGAGAGGGAGAGGGGACGUGGCCCGGCGGCGGCGGCGGCGGCGGCGAAGAGGGGAGGGAGGUGGAGGGGCUUGAAUAAUGCCAUCUUGGGCGCCGUGGCGGUCCCGGCCGUGGAGAGCUUGACGGAGGCGGCGGCGGCGAGCAUAUUGGCGGCGGGAAUGGUGGCGCCGGCUUCUUCAGUUACAGUUACUGUGUUGUGUUGUAGCCGGCCGUCCGUACGUCUAUGGCGGCGAUGGGUUGCGGCCAUAGAGACUGCUCGCAUCGAGUCUUCUUCAAUCCGACUAUAACAAAUUGCUAGCUAGUUCCACGCCCUCCAACGCCCUUUUAGGGAAGGAAGCCUCAAAGGAGAGAGGGCCGCCGAACAAUGUGGUUGAGGACAAUCCAAGGAAAAGGGUGGAGACGAAGAGGGAGCUGGACAAAAGAUAAGUGGUAGAGGGGGGAAUCCUACAGCUAGAAGAACAUCAACCGCGUCAACAGGGAAGGCUGCAAGAAUAGUAGCCAUUCAAGCCAAAGAAAACCGUAGGCACUAACAUAAAAGACCUGACCUAAUCCAUCAAUCAAGGAGCAUGCUAAAAGGAGAUCUAGAGAGAGGGAGAGGCACUGGCAAAUCCUAAUUGAUGGAUCAGAGCCAAGCAUGUUAUGGCAAGGAGCUCGUUGGCUAGCUCAAGGGCGCCUCAAAGAGGAGGGAGGAGGAGGGAUGGGGAUGGAAGAAGGUGUUGGGCAAGGUCACCAGUCCCGCGGGGGAGGGGGGGUCCGAGGCCAGAGCCUGCCACCGGUGCCACGGAUUCGACCAGAUCCAGCCGCUAGGAGCGCAGAUCUGCACGCCACCAGUCGGGGGCGCCGGGCCUAGCCUUCAUCGCCGGCUGAGGGGGGGGGGACUAUAAGGAGCCAAGCCGAGGCCCAUCACCGCCCUCACGGACGACACGUCGCCAGACAGCACCGCUGGCGACUGCCCUCCGCGGCCAAGGAGCACGACCGCUCCUUCGCCGGGAACAGCACACCGUCGCCGGGACACACGCCGCCGCACCGCCUCCACCACGCCCCAUCGCGCCACCGCGCACGGCAUUGUUGCUCUCCUCCGGCCAGGUCCAAAAGCAGGGUGCAUUUUUCAUGUUAUGAUACAUGGUUCCUGUUUUCAGGCAAAAACCACCAAGAAGAUUGUGCUGAAGCUGCAAUGCCAAAGCUGCAAGCAUUACUCCCAGCACCCCAUCAAGGUAUUUUUGCAAUGUGAAGAUUCAAGCUGAAAAUUCUCAUGAAUCAGUAUCUUUUUAGAUGUGUUGGAUGCUCACUUACAUAAUUAUUCUGUGCAGAGGUGCAAGCAUUUUAAAAUUGGUGGAGACAAGAAGGGCAAGGGAACGUCUCUUUUCUAAACUACCUACUGGAUACUGAAGUUGUGGGUCUACUGUGCUUCAUACUUCAAUGUUAUUAGGAGCUUAAUUUAAGCAGACCAUAUCAUGUAUUCAAGUACUCUAGCAAGGAUUGGCUUUCUGCUGAAUCAAGUUUUGUUGCUUAAUGCUCAUUGAAUCCAAUGUGAUGCAUGUGUUUAUGUUGCACUGCAAUUUUGUCUUAUGGCAGUUUUAUCUCCCUAAGUACUCGGUGUCUGUUUUUCGUUAUCUUACCUAUGUUUGCAAUCCUAGAGCGACCCACUUAAACGAAUUCCUGUGACAUGAAUCCCUGAGAGGUUAGUCUGAUGAACUUCCAUUUUUCAGACUGAAUUUCGUAUAUGGUUAACUAUACUAUGUUUUGUUCAAUAUCUUCGUCACGAGAUAGAAGGUAUGGAAUACCAUGGAUGGAGGUGAAUUGUAAGAUAGGCCUUGGUCUUGUGAUUGUUAUCUUAGAAGGUCGAUACUAAUGUUUGGUCUUGUGGCGUUAGUGAAACUGUUUUCGUAGCAAUGUUUGGUCUUGUGAUGUUAGUGAACUGUUUUCGUAGCAUUGUAGUACUUGUUCCAUUCUUCAUGCAUGAUUUGGAUAGGUUAUUGACAAUUGUUUAUAGUAAUGAAUUAAAUAUUACACUCCUAAAUCUAUUAUAUAAUUAAAGGAAUAGAAAAAGGAGCCUCCACGUUUACUCUCAUGGCUUAGAAAUUCUCACAUUAAUCGGAGAAAAAAAAACAGAGUCCAUAUAGAAAUACAAUUUAGAAAUAGCUGAAAUUCGGAAUUAAAAAAUAAGGAAUAUUAGAAGAGAAGACUAGAGUUCAUAUAGAAAUACACUUUAGAAAUAGUUGAAAUUUGGAAUUAAAAAAUAAGGAAUAUUAGAAGAGGAGUAUAGAGUCCAUAUAGAAAUACAAUUAGGAAAUAAUAGAAAUUCGGAAUUAAAAAUAAAGAAUAUUAGAAGUAGAGUAUAGAGUCCAUAUAGAAAUACAAUUAGGAAAUAAUAGAAAUUCUGAAUUAAAAAUAAGGAAUAUUAGAAGUAGAGUAUAAAGUCCAUAUAGAAAUACAAUUAAGAAAAAAU